GAGACUGUAGCUUAGUGGUAGAGCAUCUGCUUAGCAUGCAGGAGGGCCCAGGUUCGAUCCCUGGCAACAUCUCU